GAUGAACGCUAGCGGCAGGCUUAACACAUGCAAGUCGAGGGGCAGUACGGUAGCAAUACUGGUGGCGACCGGCAAACGGGUGCGGAACACGUACGCAACGUACCCACUACAGGGGGAUAGCCCGGAGAAAUCCGGAUUAACACCCCAUAGUAUAUUAGGAAGGCAUCUUCUUAUUAUUAAAAAUUUAUUGGUAGAGGAUU
rnacentral:rRNA from 1 species